rnacentral:rRNA from 1 species
CUAAGCCACGCGAGUCGAGAGGGUUCGGCCNCUCGGCGGACUGCUCAGUAACACGUGGAUAAUUUGUCCUUAGGUGGAGGAUAAUCUCGGGAAACUGAGAAUAAUACUCCAUAGAUCUAGGAUGCUGGAAUGCACUUAGAUUGAAAGUUCCGGCGCCUAAGGAUAAGUCUGCGGACUAUCAGGUUGUAGUCAGGGUAAAGACCUGACUAGCCUACAACGGAUACGGGUUGUGAGAGCAAUAACCCGGAGACGAUAUCUGAGACACGAUAUCGGGCCCUACGGGGCGCAGCAGGCGCGAAACCUUCACACUGCGCGAAAGCGCGAUAAGGGGAUCCCAAGUGCCAGCUCGUAAGAGUUGGCUGUUUCUCUGUCUAAAAAGCAGAGAGAGUAAGGGCUGGGUAAGACGGGUGCCAGCCGCCGCGGUAA